rnacentral:rRNA from 1 species
AUUGAACGCUGGCGGCAUGCCUUACACAUGCAAGUCGAACGGUAACAGGUCUUCGGAUGCUGACGAGUGGCGAACGGGUGAGUAAUACAUCGGAACGUGCCCAGUCGUGGGGGAUAACGCAGCGAAAGCUGUGCUAAUACCGCAUACGAUCUACGGAUGAAAGCGGGGGAUCGCAAGACCUCGCGCGAUUGGAGCGGCCGAUGGCAGAUUAGGUAGUUGGUGAGGUAAAGGCUCACCAAGCCUGCGAUCUGUAGCUGGUCUGAGAGGACGACCAGCCACACUGGAACUGGGACACGGUCCAGACUCCUACGGGAGGCAGCAGUGGGGAAUUUUGGACAAUGGGCGCAAGCCUGAUCCAGCAAUGCCGCGUGCAGGAUGAAGGCCUUCGGGUUGUAAACUGCUUUUGUACGGAACGAAAAAGCUUCUUCUAAUACAGGAGGCUCAUGACGGUACCGUAAGAAUAAGCACCGGCUAACUACGUGCCAGCAGCCGCCGUAA